UUUCACUUUUCACACUCACUCUCAUUUUUCACCAGAUCCAAACAACCGUAGAGCUGCUCACUACCACCGUCUCUGCGUCUCAGAACUUCUCACCACCACCGACCCAGAAACCACCGUCUCAGAACCACCAUCUUCUCACUACCACCGUCUUCUCACACCACCGACGAACUCAGAACUCGACAAUUUCAUCGUUCCUGUUGUCAUUUCACCGUUCCGACGAACUCGCCGUCUCCAUUGUUCAAUCUUCGCACCAACUUUCCGACGAACCUUCCAUUGUUAAACCCUAAAUCCCAAAUAUAAGGAUUUGUUACUGUUGUUGAAGGCUUGAAGGAGGUAAAAAUUUCCCCUCUUUAUUUUUCUGUUGUUGAUGCCUUUUACAUUUUGGAUUUUUCUGUUGUUGAAAGUGAGUUUGGAUUUUUGUAUGAAUUCUUCAAGCUUGGAUGUUGAUGGAAGGUUGAAUUAAUUGCUUUUGUUUCACUUUGUUUCAUAUUGGGUUUUGAAAUUGAAAUUAUUCGUGUUUUGAAAUUGGUAAUUGAUUUUCUUGUUCGUUGGAUUUUCCUUCCCUGUUGCAUAAAUAGGCAUAUUAG
rnacentral:lncRNA from 1 species